rnacentral:rRNA from 1 species
GAUGAACGCUGGCGGCGUGCCUAAUACAUGCAAGUCGAGCGAACAGACGAGGAGCUUGCUCCUCUGACGUUAGCGGCGGACGGGUGAGUAACACGUGGAUAACCUACCUAUAAGACUGGGAUAACUUCGGGAAACCGGAGCUAAUACCGGAUAAUAUAUUGAACCGCAUGGUUCAAUAGUGAAAGACGGUUUUGCUGUCACUUAUAGAUGGAUCCGCGCCGCAUUAGCUAGUUGGUAAGGUAACGGCUUACCAAGGCAACGAUGCGUAGCCGACCUGAGAGGGGAGUCGGCCCACCUGAAAUUGGACACGGGCACAAGCCCCCAGGGGAGGAAGGAGGAGGAAAUUUUCCGAAAUGGGCGAAAGCCUGACGGAGCAACCCCGCGGGGGUGAUGAAGGUUUUCGAAUCGUAAAACUCUGUUAUUAGGAAAAAAAAAAUGUGUAAAAAACUAUGCCCGUUUUGACGGUACCCAAGCAGAAAGCCACGGCUAACUACGU